CGCUGGCGGCAUGCCUCAUACAUGCAAGUCGAACGAAAUCUUCGGAUUUAGUGGCGCACGGGUGAGUAACAUGUGGGAAUCUACCUGAAGGUUCGGAAUAACUGCGGGAAACUGUAGCUAAUACCGGAUGUGUCUGCAAAGAGAAAGAUUUAUCGCCUUCAGAUGAGCCCGCACUAGAUUAGCUAGUUGGUGAGGUAAUUGCUCCACCAAGGCUACGAUCUAUAGCUGAUUUGAGAGGAUGAUCAGCCACACUGGGACUGAGACACGGCCCAGACUCCUACGGGAGGCAGCAGUAGGGAAUAUUGGACAAUGGGGGAAACCCUGAUCCAGCAAUGCCGCGUGAGUGAAGAAGGCCUUCGGGUUGUAAAACUCUUUCAUCAACGAUGAUAAUGACAUUAAUUGAAGAAGAAGCUCCGGCUAACUUCGUGCCAGCAGCCGCGGUAAUACGAAGGGGGCUAGCGUUGUUCGGAAUCACUGGGCGUAAAGCGUAUGUAGGCGGAUCAAAAAGUUAGAUGUGAAAUCCCUGGGCUCAACCCAGGAACUGCAUUUAAAACUAGUGAUCUAGAAAUUGGUAAAGGUUAGUAGAAUUUCCAGUGUAGAGGUGAAAUUCGUAGAUAUUGGAAAGAAUACCAGAAGCGAAGGCGACUAACUAGGCCAUUUUUGACGCUGAGAUACGAAAGCGUGGGUAGCAAACAGGAUUAGAUACCCUGGUAGUCCACGCAGUAAACGAUGAGUGCUAGUCGCUGGUGCAAUAGUAUCAGUGUCGAAGCUAACGCAUUAAGCACUCCGCCU
rnacentral:rRNA from 1 species